CCGCUCACUGAGGGGCGGGACGAUCUACCUGACGGGCCGAUUUUAGGCAGGAGUGUUCUCCUCAGGGGAAGGGCAGAGCUGGAGAGAGAGCCCUGUGGCAGGGAGCCGCUCUCAGUGCUGGGGGGACAGGUGUGGCUUUUGAGCCUGAAUGGCAGAGCUCUGACCCCGCUCUCGUCCAGCCUGUCGCUCGGACCCCCUCGGCCUCUUCUCUCCGGACCCUGAAGCCUCGUCCUCCGUCGCCAUGACCGCGGCCGACUCCGGCAAGCCCCCCCUGGCCGACCCCAGCGAGACCACCAGGCUGGUGUGGGGGCCCCGCGCAGCGCAGAUCCUAGGCUCCUCGGGCCAUGUUUGCUUCGGUUUGGGCUGUGGAAUUAUGGGAUAGCAUGUGGCCUGAGGAAACAGCCGUCUCAGAACGGGACUGAAGGCCUGGUCUGAUCUGUGGUCUGAGCGCAGUAAGGGACGUUAGUGUAACAUAUGGAGCUCCAGUGUAAUGUAUGCAGCUCCAGUGUAAUGUAUGGAGCUCCAGUGUAAUGUAUGCAGCUCCAGUGUAAUGUAUGCAGCUCCAGUGUAAUGUAUGGAGCUCCAGUGUAAUGUAUGCAGCUCCAGUGUAAUGUGUGCAGCUCCAGUGUAAUGAAUGGAGCUCCAGUGUAAUGUAUGCAGCUCCAGUGUAAUGUAUGCAGCUCCAGGGCCUUUCUGAAGCAGAGCGAGCUCGUGUGUGCUACGUGCGGCUCGUUUGAUUCACACCUGCAGGCCAGGUCUCCCUGUGUCUGUGUGGAUUUCCUCCAGGUACUCCGGUUUCCUGCCACAGCAGCUGUAAAAGAGCAGGCGUGUUCAGUCAACCUACUCUGUAUUAAUAAAGGUUCAAUUAAAUUAU